rnacentral:rRNA from 1 species
AUGGAGGGCACUCACCUGCUGCUCUCCGUCCUCGUCCUCCUUGCAAGCCACUCGCUUGCCAAUGUCAAUGGCGACGCCGACGUCUCCAGCAGCGGCGGCAGGACGACGACCUACAUCGUGUUCAUGGACCCGGCGGCCAUGCCGGCGGCGCACCCAUCCCCGGCCCAUUGGCACGCGGCGCACCUCCAGUCCCUGUCCAUCGACCCGGCGCGCCACCUGCUCUACUCCUACUCCGUCGCCGCGCACGGUUUCGCGGCCGCGCUGCUCCCGCACCACCUGCCGCUCCUCCGCGACAGCCCGGGCGUGCUGCAGGUCGUGCCGGACACCGUGUUCCAGCUCCACACCACGCGCACCCCGGAGUUCUUGGGGCUGCUCUCCCCGGCGUACCAGCCGGCCAUCCACAACUUGGACGCGGCCUCGCACGACGUGGUCAUAGGGGUUCUUGACACCGGCGUCUGGCCGGAGUCGCCGAGCUUCGCGGGCGGAGACCUCCCGCCGCCACCCGCGCAUUGGAAGGGCGUGUGCGAGGCCGGCGUGGACUUCCCGGCGAGCGCGUGCGGGAGGAAGCUCGUAGGUGCGCGGAGCUUCUCGCGGGGCUUCCGCGCCGCGAACGGCGGCCGCGGGGGGAUGGGUGCGGGGAGGCGGUCGGCGCGGGACAGGGACGGCCACGGGACGCACACGGCGACGACUGCAGCGGGCGCGGCGGUGACCAACGCGAGCCUGUUCGGGUACGCCACAGGAACGGCACGCGGAAUGGCGCCCGGGGCUCGCGUGGCGGCGUACAAGGUAUGCUGGCCGGAGGGGUGCCUCGGCUCUGACAUUCUAGCUGGCAUUGACUCCGCCGUGGCCGACGGGGUGGGCGUGCUAUCCCUGUCGCUCGGCGGCGGCGCGGCGCCGUACUACCGGGACACCGUGGCAGUAGGCGCCUUCGGUGCCACGGCGGCCGGCGUGUUCGUGGCCUGCUCAGCAGGCAACUCCGGCCCGUCCGGCGCCACGGUCGCGAACUCCGCGCCGUGGGUGGCCACCGUCGGCGCGGGCACGCUGGACCGCGACUUCCCUGCCUACGUCACGCUCCCAUCCGGCGCGCGUCUGGCCGGCGUGUCCCUCUACGCCCAAUCCGGCCGCCCCGUCAUGCUCCCUCUCGUCUACGGCGACAGCCGUGACAACGCAAGCAAGCUCUGUCUCUCGGGCACGCUCAACCCGGCGUCCGUGCGCGGUAAGAUUGUGCUGUGCGACCGCGGCGUGAACGCGCGCGUGGAGAAGGGCGCCGUCGUCAAGGCCGCUGGCGGUGCCGGGAUGGUGCUUGCGAACACGGCAGCGAGCGGCGAGGAGCUCGUGGCAGACAGCCACCUCCUCCCGGCCGUGGCGGUGGGCAAGUCGACCGGUGACAAGAUACGGGACUACGCCCAGCGCGGUGGCCGGCCGAUGGCAAUGCUGAGCUUCGGCGGGACGGCCCUCGGCAUCCGGCCGUCGCCCGUCGUGGCGGCGUUCAGCUCCCGCGGGCCCAACACCGUCGUGCCCGACAUCCUGAAGCCGGACAUGAUCGGUCCGGGCGUGAACAUCCUGGCCGGGUGGUCCGGCGUCAAAGGGCCGACCGGGCUCGCCAAGGACGGCCGCCGGACUCCCUUCAACAUCAUCUCCGGGACAUCGAUGUCCUGCCCACACAUCAGCGGACUGGCCGCGCUGCUCAAGGCGGCGCACCCAAACUGGAGCCCAGCGGCCAUCAAGUCGGCGCUGAUGACCACCACAUACACCAUGGACAACACGAACUCCUCGCUCCGGGACGCCGCCGGGAGCUCACUGGCGACCCCGUUCGGCUUCGGCGCAGGCCAUGUCGACCCGCAGAAGGCACUCUCCCCGGGCCUCGUGUACGACAUCUCCACCAGCGACUACGUCGCCUUCCUCUGCUCCCUGGACUACAGCGCGGCCCACAUCCGGGUGAUCACCAAGAUGGCCAACGUCUCGUGCCCGCCGAGGUCCCGCCCCGGCGACCUCAACUACCCAUCCUUCUCCGUCGUGUUCAGGAAGAAGCCGAGGCACGUGGUGAGGUACAGGAGGGAGCUGACCAACGUCGGCCCGGCCAUGGCCGUCUACGACGUGAAGGUGAGCGGCCCCGCGUCCGCCGGCGUCACGGUGACGCCGGCGAGGCUCGUGUUCAAGAAGGUGGGGCAGAAGCAGAGGUACUAUGUCACCUUCGAAUCCAAGGCCGCCGGCCCGGGCCGCGCCAAGCCGGACUUCGGGUGGAUAUCAUGGGCGAGCGACGAGCAUGUCGUCCGCAGCCCGGUUGCCUACACAUGGAAGAUGUGA